rnacentral:rRNA from 1 species
AGUGGGGAAUCUUAGACAAUGGGGGAAACCCUGAUCUAGCCAUGCCGCGUGAGUGAUGAAGGCCCUAGGGUUGUAAAGCUCUUUCAGAUGGGAAGAUAAUGACGGUACCAUCAGAAGAAGCCCCGGCUAACUCCGUGCCAGCAGCCGCGGUAAUACGGAGGGGGCUAGCGUUGUUCGGAAUUACUGGGCGUAAAGCGCGCGUAGGCCGAUUGGAAAGUUAGAGGUGAAAUCCCAGGGCUCAACCUUGGAACUGCCUUUAAAACUAUCAGUCUAGAGUUCGAGAGAGGUGAGUGGAAUUCCGAGUGUAGAGGUGAAAUUCGUAGAUAUUCGGAGGAACACCAGUGGCGAAGGCGGCUCACUGGCUCGAUACUGACGCUGAGGUGCGAAAGCAUGGGGAGCAAACAGGAUUAGAUACCCUGGUAGUCCAUGCCGUAAACGAUGAAUGCCAGACGUCGGGCAGCAUGCUGUUCGGUGUCACACCUAACGGAUUAAG